rnacentral:rRNA from 1 species
CCUACGGGAGGCAGCAGUGGGGAAUCUUCCGCAAUGGGCGAAAGCCUGACGGAGCAACGCCGCGUGAUCGAAUGAAGGCCUUCGGGUUGUAAAGAUCUGUUGACAGGGACGAAUAAGCAAUGCGAAUAGCUUUGUGUAUGACGGUACCUGUUUAGAAACCUCUGGCUCACUACGUGCCAGCAGCCGCGGUAAUACGGAGGGAGCAAGCGUUGUCCGGAUUUACUGGGCGUAAAGGGCGCGUAGGUGGGCGGUUAAGUCAGAUGUGAAAACUGCGGGCUCAACCCGGAGACUGCACUUGAAACUGGUGGUCUUGAGGGCAGGAGAGGAAGGUGGAAUUCCUAGUGUAGCGGUGAAAUGCGUAGAUAUUAGGAGGAACACCAGUGGCGAAGGCGGCUUACUGGACUGUAACUGACGUUGAGGCUCGAAAGCGUGGGGAGCAAACAGGAUUAGAUACCCGAGUAGUC